UACAUUCCUCCUGCACAAGAUGGUGUACUACAAAUGUGUAUUGAGCAGUAUAGGACAGAUCACCUCCAAGUGAGGGAACUCAGAGAAGUUUGGAGGCUUGUCCCUAGCCACGUGCUGGCUCUUUGGUGCCCCCGAGGCAGAGCCAAGUCAGGAGAGCAGCCGGUCAUCCCUCAGACCACUGCCACGUGCUCAAGUCAAACUGCUACAGACUCCAAGAUGGUCUCCAGCACAGGGAUUCCCAAACUGUGCUCAGCAGACCUAAGGCUAUGUGAGGAAGGUUGGCCUGAUGAACCAAUGUUCUUUUCCAUUUUUGAGGAAUGCAGCUGAUUAAAGUAAGAUAAAACUAAGAGGAAAAGAAAAGCUAAAGGAAGUUAAAAAAGCAUGCAUAUUUUUUAUAAAAAUUCUUCCAUGCAUUCAUUAGUGUCUGUACCAGCAACAGAAGUAUAAUGUGAUCUGAAAAGGAACAGGACUUGCCAUUGAGUGAGAAAAGAGGUCACGGUAUGAUCUCUGCGUGGUGGUGUCCUCAAUAGUACUGAACAAGCAGCAUGGUGAACAGAGGGACUCGAGGUGGGACAACUUCCCUGCACGGGCUCUCUGCUACCUGGCACCCAUACUGCCCUCUCCGUGUGGACUUUUCCUUAGCUGAGUGCUAAUUUGGACAUCUCUUGUAGUCAUUAAGUUGGAGAACGUAAAUAUUGUUGGUGUCUCAAUCUCUUGUUAUAUUCAGCUGAAGAUGAUCUAUGGUUACAAAUGUUAGAGAGAGAUGAGGUGAGCCAGCUUUCUUCAAGAAGCCAAGAUAAAAGAGGUGAGACUGUCAGCCAACAAAACUAGGGAAAGUUAAACUUCACAUAUCUCUCUGAUAAAAAGCAAGCACAAUAAAUCUUUCAGAAAGAAAAACAAAACAAUGGUGCGCUGUGUUGUUAAGCAUUUUACAGAAACUUUUAAGAGUUCUGGUCAAAGUUACACUAGAAUACCACAUAUUCUCUUGAGCUAAUGUUGAUGCCGCUUCCAAUGACUGUAUCCCAAAUGUGACAAUCUUGGCCUUUUUCUUACAACCAAGUUCUAC